GAUUCCGGGAGGCUUCGAAGCGUUGGUGGAUGCGAUCGGAGCGAUGCCCUGAGAGGGGUCUGUGAAAGGAGCAAGCCCCGCCGGGCAGAAGCCGAGGGGCUCAGCGCCCCGGAAGUGGGGGCCCUGAACGCUGAAGUUUGUUUGCUUGUCAGGGGGCACUGGUGGUUCUUGCUAAAAGCAUUAUUUAUUUAAAAAAGAGGCUACUUUAUGGGCGGUUGAACUGUUCAAAAUAAGGCCGUAGUGGUGAGGUGGUGGAUCCUGUCCCUCAUUCGGCCCCACUCAUACCUGCUUGGGUGCACUUCAGUCAAUAGUCUCCUCAGUGCUCUCACCUGCAAGGUUCGCAUGAGUGUCUAACUAAAAAGCACAAAUCCAGUUCCAGGUGCUUCAAAAGCACACGGGGCUGUGGCUCCCCGAAGCCUGGCAGACAAACCACCUCUAGUCUUGGAGCCUUCUCAGCGGCCACCACCAUAAUCACACAGUAUAAAGGAGCAGUCAAAUUCAUGGAUCAAAACAGUCUGAGGACCAGCUGUAGACUGUUCACCAAAGCUUGCUGUGUCACCGGUGUGUUGGAACCACUGAUGGAGAGAAUCGAGAUCCAGCGUUUUCAUGGGGAUUUAAAGAAGCCACCUCAUCUCAUUUCUCCAGGCAAGAACAGCCAAAGUACCGUUCAUGCCACUUUGAAAGACAACGAUGCCCCGUGACAGGCAUGUAAAUCUCUAUGCUUUACUUCAUCCCAUGCUUCUUCCUUUCCUCUUUCCCUUCCCUGUGGAGGGGGAGGACAAGACAUCCCAAACAUCUGAACUGUGUGGUGCUCCAGCUCCAGCGUCAUGAGGAAUUCCUGCUGUGGAGGUGCUGCACCAGGAUCUCGCCUCCCCCGCAGACCUCUCCUGUGCCAGCUGCUGAGGAGGGAUGGUGGUAUCAGGCUUGCUGAGCCCUCCCUGCCUGGCCAUGUGUGAGAACAACCACAUGAGUGGAUUCCUUGAGAGCCACAGGCAGGGGUUAUCUCUCCUCCCCAACUGCAGGGUGAGAUUCCAAGGGGUAAAAGUGUCAGCUGACUAAAGAUCCUCCCUGCAGGAGGCUGUAGAGAUGAGUAACAUUACCCAGGGCCUCAAAAAUGCAUUUUUUCCAGACUGCUCAGAGCCUAAAUAAUACUGAAGUACUUCAGAAUUAGAUUAGACCAGGAUGACAUUAAGCAUUCUCCUGGGAGGAGGUCUGAUAAUUCA